rnacentral:rRNA from 1 species
GAUGAACGCUGGCGGCGUGCCUAAUACAUGCAAGUCGAGCGAACGGACGAGAAGCUUGCUUCUCUGAUGUUAGCGGCGGACGGGUGAGUAACACGUGGAUAACCUACCUAUAAGACUGGGAUAACUUCGGGAAACCGGAGCUAAUACCGGAUAAUAUUUUGAACGGCAUGGUUCAAAAGUGAAAGCCGGUCUUGCUGUCACUUAUAGAUGGAUCCGCGCUGCAUUAGCUAGUUGGUAAGGUAACGGCUUACCAAGGCAACGAUGCAUAGCCGACCUGAGAGGGUGAUCGGCCACACUGGAACUGAGACACGGUCCAGACUCCUACGGGAGGCAGCAGUAGGGAAUCUUCCGCAAUGGGCGAAAGCCUGACGGAGCAACGCCGCGUGAGUGAUGAAGGUCUUCGGAUCGUAAAACUCUGUUAUUAGGGAAGAACAUAUGUGUAAGUAACUGUGCACAUCUUGACGGUACCUAAUCAGAAAGCCACGGCUAACUACGUG